rnacentral:rRNA from 1 species
CGAACGGCAGCGCGGGGCAACCUGGCGGCGAGUGGCGAACGGGUGAGUAAUAUAUCGGAACGUACCCUGGAGUGGGGGAUAACGUAGCGAAAGUUACGCUAAUACCGCAUACGAUCUAAGGAUGAAAGUGGGGGAUCGCAAGACCUCAUGCUCCUGGAGCGGCCGAUAUCUGAUUAGCUAGUUGGUGGGGUAAAGGCCUACCAAGGCAUCGAUCAGUAGCUGGUCUGAGAGGACGACCAGCCACACUGGGACUGAGACACGGCCCAGACUCCUACGGGAGGCAGCAGUGGGGAAUUUUGGACAAUGGGGGCAACCCUGAUCCAGCAAUGCCGCGUGAGUGAAGAAGGCCUUCGGGUUGUAAAGCUCUUUUGUCAGGGAAGAAACGGAUCCUUCUAAUACAGGGGUCUAAUGACGGUACCUGAAGAAUAAGCACCGGCUAACUACGUGCCAGCAGCCGCGGUAAU